ensembl:lncRNA
GACAACUUCCGUUCUGCCGCGAUGCGGGUUAUGUUUACAUCCGGUGAACGCUAACUGCCAGCAGCACAUCAUUAUGGCUAUGGAGUUCACCCAGUCUGCCACCAAUACGAAUUAACGACGUAGAACGACUUGCUGACAAGUGUUCCCUUACUUCAAGGUCAAGCUUGAUAAAGGAUACACGUUCUUCGUUGAAGGUUACCUGUUUGAUUAUGAAGGGCUUAUUCCGGAUCCUCACGUCAUGGCCAGUGCUGAGAAACUGCAAGACAUCCGUCCACAACCAGGGAUAUGCAAAUUGCUGCACGGGCUUGAGGGUCUUAAUUUGACUCUAAAUUGGGCCCUGUGCCAUUUGGGUCUGUGCUAUCUUACCAGUGCCCUCCUGAAAUAAGUAGAGACAUUACUAAACACCCUGGUGACAGUGAGUUUCCUCAGUUGCCUGUUGAAGGUUACAACUUUACAUUUCCAAUAGAUUUUGAGCCCAAAUACAAGCAACAAUGUCACUUGGACAGCCUGAUUGUCACAGGAGAUCUCUGCUGCUAUUGAAGCAGAAACACGAAUGGAGUCAGAAUGCCAGCUGUGGAGCCAGGUACGCAAACCCCGACUGACAGCCAGCAGAUUCUGUGAAAUAUGCCAUGUUCGAGGGGAGUUGUUUGCCAAGGCUUUCGCAACCCGCAUUCUGAGAGGAACUCCUCAGACAGCUGCUAUGAGAAGAGGGUUGGAUCUGGAACCUGAGAUACUGAGGCAAUAUUCCGAUUUUAUGAUGUCUCUGAAACAAAGCAAGGUCAUCAUCCACCUGACCUUGCAGCCUGCCCGGAUGCUAAAGUCUUCUGCCCAACAGAAGCUCCACCAUUUGGGCUUGCUGAGGUUAAAAGUUGCGAUGUUGAAAAUGUUACCCAAGUUAAACACCUGAUCACAGUUAAAGGUCAAGCCUUGUGGAAGGUGAACCUUUGACAUUUUCUUUCUUUAACUGCAAAUUGACUUGUUAUACUCCUAUUUAUAGAAAUACACAUUUUGAAAAGGA